rnacentral:rRNA from 1 species
AUUGGAGAGUUUGAUCCUGGCUCAGGAUGAACGCUAGCGGCAGGCCUAACACAUGCAAGUCGAGGGGUAGAAUUAGCUUGCUAAUUUGAGACCGGCGCACGGGUGCGUAACGCGUAUGCAAUCUACCUUGUACAGGGGGAUAGCCCAGAGAAAUUUGGAUUAAUACUCCAUGGUAUAAUUGAAUCGCAUGGUUUGAUUAUUAAAGUUCCAACGGUACAAGAUGAGCAUGCGUCCCAUUAGCUAGUUGGUGUGGUAACGGCAUACCAAGGCGACGAUGGGUAGGGGUCCUGAGAGGGAGAUCCCCCACACUGGUACUGAGACACGGACCAGACUCCUACGGGAGGCAGCAGUGAGGAAUAUUGGUCAAUGGUCGGAAGACUGAACCAGCCAUGCCGCGUGCAGGAAGACGGUCCUAUGGAUUGUAAACUGCUUUUGUACGGGAAGAAACACUCCUUCGUGAAGGAGCUUGACGGUACCGUAAGAAUAAGAUCGCUAACUCC